rnacentral:rRNA from 1 species
UGGACCUCGCGGUGCAUUAGCUAGUUGGUAGGGUAACGGCCUACCAAGGCGAUGAUGCAUAGCCCGAGUUGAGAGACUGAUCGGGCCACAUUGGGGACUGAGACACGGGCCCAAAAACUCCUACGGGGAGGCAGCAGUAGGGAAUCUUCCACAAUGGACGCAAGUCUGAUGGAGCAACGCCGCGUGAGUGAAGAAGGGUUUCGGCUCGUAAAGCUCUGUUGUUGGUGAAGAAGGACAGGGGUAGUAACUGACCUUUGUUUGACGGUAAUCAAUUAGAAAGUCACGGCUAACUACGUGCCAGCAGCCGCGGUAAU